GCUGGAGUGACUUUUUCCACCAUCGAAAUCUUUAUUUGAAGGCACAGUUUGACCUUCCAAGUUCAACUGGCUGGAGCAGAGAAUUAAUCAUUUUAGUCUGACUAAAACCAGCACAUCCUGGCUGAAAAGAUCAAAAAUGGGAAACGAAGUACCAAGGGAAGCUCACUCGGGUGAUCGCCUGACUUGCUGCUUGUGUUCUAAAGCGCUGGAUCCAAGCGACAAAGUGGAGAAACGUUUGGUUAAAAACUUACAUGUUCACGAGUUUAAUGGAGGGGAAUACUACAGACUAGAAGGGCCGAAUUAUAUAUACAUCUGCGCAUAUUGCUUUCAUAAGCUUAAAUAAGAGAUGAGAAGAGUAAUAAUAGAGGAGGAGCGACAGAAAGAAAAACAGAAUCUCACCCACAAGCUAAAACAACAGCUUGAGAAAAAAAACUGAUGCCACAUUUCAUAGGAAUAUGGGUUAAGAAAGGUGGGACUGAAAGGGAUUGAAUCCCCCCGGACUUACU